AACGUAGGAGACAAACGUUAUCCGGAAUUACUGGGCGUAAAGCGUGCGUAGGCGGUUUGUUAAGUCUGUCGUGAAAGCCCCGGGCUCAACCUGGGAAUGGCGAUGGAAACUGGCGAGCUAGAGUACGGUAGAGGAGAGUGGAAUUCCCGGUGUAGCAGUGAAAUGCGUAGAUAUCGGGAGGAACACCUGUGGCGAAAGCGGCUCACUGGACCACAACUGACGCUGAGGCGCGAAAGCUAGGGGAGCAAACAGG
rnacentral:rRNA from 1 species